rnacentral:rRNA from 1 species
UACGUAGGGGGCGAGCGUUGUCCGGAAUUACUGGGCGUAAAGCGCAUGUAGGCGGGCGACUAAGUCAGGGGUGAAAACCGUGGGCUCAACCUACGGCUUGCCCUUGAUACUGGUCGUCUGAGUACAGGAGAGGAAGGUGGAAUUCCCGGUGUAGGGGUGAAAUCCGUAGAUAUCGGGAGGAACACCAGUGGCGAAGGCGGCUUCCUGGCCUGUUACUGACGCUGAGAUGCGAAAGCGUGGGGAGCGAACGGG